rnacentral:lncRNA from 1 species
CCUCAAUUUAAUUCUGAUGGUUCUUUUUCCCCCGUGAAGUACACAUUUCGUGAAGCCCUGAAAAUUUCAGGGAAAGAAGAGAAAAGCUUAUUUAACUACCCGCAGGCACUUGGAAUGGUACAAGUCAAAUUUCCUUGAAUUAGCUAUUAGACACCCUAAUUGCAUUUUAUUUGCAUUUUAUAGCAUUAGGAUUCAGGUUGCCUGCCAGGUUUAAAGCUAAUCAAUGUGAUCACAUAGAAAGAUUUAAACUGCUCAGGGAUUGUUCGGAAGUGAGGAAGAUUGGGGAACGAGGCAGACGGGGAGAAGGAGGAGGAGGAGGUGGAUAGAUGGAUGGAUGGAUGGAUGGAUGGAUGGAUGGAUGGAUGGAUGGAUUGUGGGAUCCUUGCUGCUCUCUGAGCUUAGUCGUUUUAUUGCAGAAGUUUCAUUAGCCAACUACGGAACAUCAUCAUCUUCCUUUGCCUUCUCACUUUUUCCUUCUUUCCUUCCCUCCUUCCUUCUUUCCUUCCUUCCUUUUCCUCCCUCCCUUUCUUGCCUUUCUUCUUACUUCAUCCCUCUCUUCCUCCAAUCUUUCCUUCCUUCCUUCCUCUCUCCCUCCCUCCCCUUCUCACUUUCCUUCCUUCCUUUUCCUCCCUCCCUCCCUCCCCUCCAUUCUCUUUCCUCCCUCCCUUUCUCACACUUCUCCCUUCCUUUUCCUCCCUCCAUUCUUUUUUCUUUCCUCCCUCCCUUCUCUCCCUCCUUUCCUCCUUCCUUCUCAGUUUUCUUCCUUCCUUUCCUCCCUCCUCCCUCCCUCCCCUCCAUUCUCUUUCCUCCCUCCCUCCCCCCCUUUCUCACACUUCUCCCUUCCUUUUCCUCCCUCCAUUCUUUCUUUCCUCCCUCCUUUCUCUCCCUCCCCUUCUGUUUCCUUCGUUCCUUUUUCCUUCCUCUCCUCCACCCCUACCCCCCAAACACAGGCGUGCACAGUGCCAGUCACAUGCUGGCAGGCACCUUCUGGCUGGCAUCCCCUUGUCAAUCUGGGCAUCGAUCCAAGUCAGAAAGAAACACAAAACAAUGCAGCGAAAGGCUGGCAGACCUCCUUCUCUAGUUCUGGGGAGGUAGAAAAAUCC